GACGAACGCUGGCGGCGUGCUUAACACAUGCAAGUCGAGCGGAGCGGCGGACGGGUGAGUAAUGCCUAGGAAUCUGCCUGGUCGUGGGGGAUAACGUCCGGAAACGGGCGCUAAUACCGCAUACUAUCAGUGGAGCCUAGGUCGGUUUCGCUAGUUGGUGGGGUAGAGGCCUACCAAGGCGACGAUCCGUAGCUGGUCUGAGAGGAUGAUCAGUCAAACGGGAACUGUGACACGGUGCAGCGGCCUACGGGAGGCAGGAGGGGGGAAGAUUGGGCAAUGGGCGAAAGCCUGAGACAGCCAUGCCGCGUGUGUGAGGAAGGGCUGCGGAGUUUAAGGCACUUUAAGUUGGGAGGCGUUACCUACAGAAGAAGCACCGGCUAACUUCGUGCCAGCAGCCGCGGUAAUAC
rnacentral:rRNA from 1 species